rnacentral:misc_RNA from 1 species
AACGCACGAGACCUGCGGACCUGCGGAGGGAUCAUUAAUGAGAAGCUGCCCCUCGUGGGUAGACCUCCCACCCUCUGUGAACUUACCUUUGCUGCUUUGGCAGGCCCGUCCUCUGGACCGCCGGCUUCGGCUGGCCCGUGCCUGCCAGAGGAUUCCAAACCCUGUCUGUCAGUGUUGUCUGAGUCUAUAUGAAAUCGUUAAAACUUUCAACAAUGGAUCUCUAGAUCGGAAGAGCACACG